AAGAGAAGACGAACUAGUAAGAGCUGCUAAUUACUUACAAUUGAGGUUAAAUUCCACAACUCUCUUG
rnacentral:tRNA from 1 species